rnacentral:rRNA from 1 species
CCUACGGGAGGCAGCAGUGGGGAAUAUUGCACAAUGGGGGGAAACCCUGAUGCCAGCGACGCCGCGUGGAGGAAGAAGGUCUUCGGAUUGUAAACUCCUGUUGUUGAGGAAUGAUAAUGACGGUACUCAACAAGGAAGUGACGGCUAACUACGUGCCAGC